rnacentral:rRNA from 1 species
UACGUAGGGUGCGAGCGUUGUCCGGAAUUAUUGGGCGUAAAGAGCUCGUAGGCGGUGUGUCGCGUCGGCCGUGAAAACCUGGGGCUCAACUCUGGGCGUGCGGUCGAUACGGGCAUCACUUGAGUUCGGCAGGGGAGACUGGAAUUCCUGGUGUAGCGGUGGAAUGCGCAGAUAUCAGGAGGAACACCGAUGGCGAAGGCAGAUCUCUGGGCCGUAACUGACGCUGAGGAGCGAAAGCGUGGGGAGCGAACAGG